rnacentral:rRNA from 1 species
GACGAACGCUGGCGGCGUGCUUAACACAUGCAAGUCGAACGGAAAGGCCCUGCUUUUGUGGGGUGCUCGAGUGGCGAACGGGUGCGUAACACGUGAGUAACCUGCCCUUGACUUUGGGAUAACUUCAGGAAACUGGGGCUAAUACCGGAUAGGAGCUCCUGCUGCAUGGAGGGGGUUGGAACGUUUCGGCGGUUGGGGAUGGACUGGCGGCUGAUCAGCUUGUUGGUGGGGUAGUGGCUUACCAAGGCUUUGACGGGUCGCCGGCCUGGGAGGGUGACCGGCCACAUUGGGACUGAGAGACGGCCCAGACGCCUACGGGAGGCAGCAGUGGGGAAUAUUGCACAGUGGGCGGGAGCCUGAUGCAGCAACGCCGCGUGCGUGAUGACGGCCUUCGGGUUGUAAACCGCUUCCGCCUGUGACGAAGCGGGAGUGACGGUAAUGGGUAAAGAAGCACCGGCUAACUACGUG